GACGAACGCUGGCGGCGUGCUUAACACAUGCAAGUCGAACGGAAAGGCCCUGCUUUUGUGGGGUGCUCGAGUGGCGAACGGGUGAGUAACACGUGAGUAACCUGCCCUUGACUUUGGGAUAACUUCAGGAAACUGGGGCUAAUACCGGAUAGGAGCUCCUGCUGCAUGGUGGGGGUUGGAAAGUUUCGGCGGUUGGGGCUGGACUCGCGGCUUAUCAGCUUGUUGGUGGGGUAGUGGCUUACCAAGGCUUUGACGGGUAGCCGGCCUGAGAGGGUGACCGGCCACAUUGGGACUGAGAGACGGCGCAGACUCCUACGGGAGGCAGCAGUGGGGAAUAUUGCAGAAUGGGCGGAAGCCUGAUGCAGCAGUGCCGCGUGCGGGAUGACGGCUUUCGGGGUGUAAACCGCUUUCGACUGUGACGAAGCGUGAGUGACGGUAAUGGGUAAAGAAGCACCGGCUAACUACGUG
rnacentral:rRNA from 1 species